rnacentral:rRNA from 1 species
ACUGCUUUUAUAAGGGAAUAAAGUGAGUCUCGUGAGACUUUUUGCAUGUACCUUAUGAAUAAGGACCGGCUAAUUCCGUGCCAGCAGCCGCGGUAAUACGGAAGGUCCGGGCGUUAUCCGGAUUUAUUGGGUUUAAAGGGAGCGUAGGCCGGAGAUUAAGCGUGUUGUGAAAUGUAGACGCUCAACGUCUGCACUGCAGCGCGAACUGGUUUCCUUGAGUACGCACAAAGUGGGCGGAAUUCGUGGUGUAGCGGUGAAAUGCUUAGAUAUCACGAAGAACUCCGAUUGCGAAGGCAGCUCACUGGAGCGCAACUGACGCUGAAGCUCGAAAGUGCGGGUAUCGAACAGGAUUAGAUACCCUGGUAGUCCGCACGGUAAACGAUGGAUGCCCGCUGUUGGUCUGAAUAGGUCAGCGGCCAAGCGAAAGCAUUAAGCAUCCCACCUGGGGAGUACGCCGGCAACGGUGCAACUCAAAUGAAUUGAGGGA